rfam:Anas platyrhynchos breed Pekin duck contig81081, whole genome shotgun sequence.
UGGCUCCAGAAAUCAAGGAUGGGUAAGACCUCGUAGGAAAACUUGAAGGCGACCCAUACUUGGUUUCAGGGGCUG